AAGCUGCUAUAAUUAGUAGUUGUUGGUCUGGGCGUGACACUACCAACCAAAAGUCUGAUUCCGUCGUCCCCUAAUAUCGUUUUUGCCCAAAUUCAAAUUAGGAAGAGAAGUUGGCUUUGUCACACAAGCAUUCUGUUGUAUCGACAAGAAGUGGAAGCUGACGAAUCCGAGGUUGUGUCACUGACAAUGCACAUCCAAUCAGUUCCGGCUCUGAUUCUUGAUUUGUAGAAGGGUGGAGUAACCAGAAUCACAUAAAUAGGUAGUUGAAAAAGAAGUGAGCAAUAAUGGUUGUUAGUAGAGUAUGGUAUCUGACAAGAAGACCGGAGGGGUUGCCUAGGAAAGAUGACUUUACGCUAAAAGAGGAACAGCUUCCGCCUUGUGAGGAUGGAGAAGUUAUUGUUGCAGCAGAAUAUGUAAGUGUUGAUCCUUACUUGAGGUACCGAGCAAGACAAAUUGAGCUUGACACUGUCAUGAAUGGCACAGCAGUAUCCCGGGUCAUUGAAAGCAAGAACAGUGAGUGGCCUGAAGGUUCGUAUCUAGUUCAUAAUGCUGGAUGGCGCACACAUGCUUUAAUAAAGAAAGAGAAUUUGGAAAGUUCAUCUUAUUUUGGUGGAUGUAUCCGGCUUCCUGACUAUCAAGGCCUACCUCGAAGCUUAAGUUUAGGGGCUUUAGGAAUGCCUGGCAAUACAGCAUAUUUUGGAUUCCUUGAAAUUUGUAAGCCAAAGGCAGGAGAAACUGUAUUGGUUAAUUGUGCGGCUGGAGCUGUUGGCAGCCUUGUAGUCCAGAUAGCAAAACUUAAGGGAUGUAAAGUUAUAGGUUUUACUGGUUCUGAUGAAAAAGUUUCAUACUUGAGGGAAAUUGGUGCUGACCAUGCCUUCAACUACAAAACUACACAUAUAGGUGAGGCCCUAGAGAAGGCUGCACCUGAGAAGAUAAACUGUUAUUUUGAUAAUGUUGGAGGACAGUUUACCGCUGAAGCUCUUCCACACAUGGCAGACUUUGGUAGAAUCUCAAUAUGUGGUGCUAUUUCCACUUACAAUGAUGAAUCAAAGGACAUUGGAAAAGUAUCUAUGACCAGAAGACCAGAAGAAAAGAAGCAAGAAUUUUGGGAAAGGUUUUCAGAAGCAGUGGCAGAUGCCAGAUGGAAUAAUGAUAGGAUGAGACAUGAGUGGCCACAUAAAAAUAGACUGAGAUGGUUUGAGGAUAUGAUGGGUGGAUACAGCUUAAGAGGGAGAAACAUUAUUGAAAUUUUGUCACAGCCAAUAAUUGAGAUUAAGAAAACUAUUUUUGAGAAGCCACAAGAGAAAAUUUGGUAGCAUACAAGAAGGAAGCAGAAACUGUUUGACUCUUAUGAUGAUAAAUACUGAUGGCAUCAAAGAUAAGGGUUCUACUGAUGUACUGGACAAGGCUUAUCUAACACAGCAGAUUACUGUAAGCUAAUGUAAUGGUGAUGGGUCAGAAAUAAGAUGAAAUAAUAGCAUAUCUAAAGAAAAAAAUACGCUUGGAAACUGAAUAAUCAAGUUAAAAAGGAAUAUUAAGUGAUAGGAAGUAUAGCAUCAAAAAGGUGUCAGUGGAAAUUGCUGAAAAAAGAAAACAUACAAACAGCAGCAGAAGAAUAUUGAAUGACAUCAGGGAAGGGUUAUAGAGAGAGAAACAUGCUGGGGGCAUGAUAUAUAAAGGGUAAUUAAAAGAGAAGAGAACAUUUGAGCUGUGGUAAAUGUUAGGCAGGGGUGGGGAUAGAGAUGCAAAGUUUAAAAGGAAAAUGAGGAGGGAGGCUAUAGUACAGGUGGGACGGUAAGAUGGAGGAGUUAGAAGGAAUGUAAUCAUCAUCUCAACACAGCUGAAGGAAAAGAGGAAAUAUCAAAGAUAGCAAAGUAGCUGCAAAAAGAUGUAAAUAAGGCAAAGUACACAUAACCCCCGCUAUUGCUUGUUCCGCUAUAGCGUUUUGCGGCUAUUGCGUAGAUUUAAAAAUCUCCCCCAACUUGCUUAACGCGCACCAAAUUGGCAGCUAUUGCACGCCUUGAUAUCACGACUGGCGGCCAUGUCCUGAUGUCACGGCGGCAACACUGCGCCGAUUGGUGGAGGGUUUGUUUACAAGUCACUAGUAUUGUACACAUAAUCACGCGAUGUGCAAUGUGUCUGUGUGUCGCGUGAUAGCAGCAAUAUUUUUUGUGAAAGUGUCACAUAAUGGCCAGUAACCCUCCAACCCACCCCCCUACGAUUGGUGAGCGUAAUAAAAUGGCACCGAAGAGAGAAGUGGAGAAGCGCAAGAACCUGACUUAUACUCAGAAACUGGAAAUAGUUAAGUUGGUUAAUGCUGGUGAGACCAAGCACAGCAUAGGGAGGAAAUUUGAAAUUAAUGAGUCCACAGUAAGAGGCAUUUACCAGAAACGUGAGCAUAUCAGUCAUAUGAUGCUGUCAGCCUCUGAAGGAACCAGCAAUGCCUUGAGUAACUGUAAUUUGGUGCUACUGAAGACUGAGCGGCUGCUAACAAGAUAUUUGGAUAGGCAGGCACAACAGAACCAUGCUGUAGAAACGCGCGAGAUAAUGGCAGCGGCGAAGGAGUUGUAUAAGGGUGUUGUAGUGAAGAUGGGCAUUCAGCAACCGCCACUGUUUUUGCCGUAAAAAGGAUGGAUGGACUGAUUUAUCACACGCCAUAAAGUCAAAAGUAAGGUGAUAUCAGGUGAGGCGGCAAGUGCAGAACAUACAGCAGCACGCGAGUACCCAGCGACACUGAAGCACAAUAUUGAGGGCCAGUACUAUACUGUUGACCAAAUUUUCAAUAUGGAUGAGACCAACUUCUGUUGGAAGACCCUUCCUCGUUGCAUGUUCAUCACGCCUCUUCUGUCAAAGUGUGAGGAAGGAAGGCCAUCAAGGAGAGGGUUACUCUCUUGUUUGCCAUGAAUGCCUCAGGAACUUGCUGCCUUAAACCAACAAUAAUUAAUUGAGCAAAGCAACCACGCGCCUACAGGCAUCAUGACAUGAAGAAACUCAAUGUGCACUGGAUGACUUCCAGGAAGGGUUACAUGUCAGCGAAACUGUCUAUGGACUGGCUGAAGGAAGCAUUUAUCCCCCAGGUGGAGAAGUAUUGCAGUGACAAUAAUGUGAGAUUUAAUAUUCUGUUGCUCCUUGACAAUGCCCUGGGCCACUCACCACUUCUGAGAAGCGAAAAUCCUGAUGUAAAAGUGGAUUUUUUACCUCCAAUCAUGACCUCACUGAUCCACCCUCUUGAUCAAGAAGUCAUUUCUGUUGUGGAGCUUGCAUACUCAAGGCAACAGUUCAGAAUUAUCAGGGCAGCCACCAAGGAUGAAGAGCUAAUGCAACACUUGAUUGACAAUGGUGAUGAUGCUGAUGAUGAUUUCGAUGAUUGAAAGCUGAUAACGAACAUGAAAAGAAAGUGCUGUUGUAUUGGAAAAAUUAUAAUAUUAAGCAAGAAAUAGAUUUAGUGGUGGACUGUUAGAACAAUGUGACCUGAAAAACAAGUCAUCACGCCUGGCGCAAUGUGUUGGAGGGCUUGCCUGAAGGUGAGCUGCAGUCAGUGCACGCGGAGGCUGAGGCAGCUGCAGAGGAGGCACAGCAAGUUCCUGAAGGUGGUUUUGAGGACACAACAGAGAGUGAAAUUCUCAAAAUGGUACAGCCAGCCCCUGUUACAGUUUCUGACAUCAUGGAAGAGGAAGAGGAGAAGAUGAGGAGGAGGAGAGGGUCCCUGUUACCACCUGCGCGGGACUCACCAUAUUGAACAUCAAGGAACUCAUCAACUUGGGUAUCAGGAUGUGGCACAUCCUUGAGCAAGAUGCUACCAUCAACUGUGAGGAAAGAUGUUCUCAUGUUGAUAAAGCAUUGGAAGGUUACAAUGAACAGUAUCAUGCCCGCAUCAACGCCCUCCAGCAAUGCCAGAUCGCAGAUUUCUUACGCUGUUGCACCGAGUCUCAGCCAGCCCACCCUCAACCAGGACCGUCAAAUGAGAUUGCUUGGAAUGAUGUUGAUGAUUUUGAGGGCUUUGAAACUUCUGCAGCCAUAGAUGACUUCCUCGACGAGAUACAACGUCAAGUGGGUGGUCAAUAACAAGCCUUGGAACCCCCCUCUAACCCACCUAAGCCCCUCAUCAUCCUCAAAAAGGUCCAUAUAGUGAAGCAACUAUUUUGUGGAAGCAGCUUAGAGUGGAAGGGUUCAUUGUCGUACGCUGGCAAGAUAGGUGGACAGAGGGAAUAGAGCAAAUAAAACAAUGGAUCAAAGAG